AAUUUUAUAUUUAAAUAAUAAUAUUAGAAUGCAAUUCUAAAGUUAUAAAUUUUAAAAUUUAUUAAAAUUUAAAUUU
rnacentral:tRNA from 1 species